UAGAGCAUCACUGAAAGCUCUUGUUUGAGCUUUGUUUAAGCUUUGGAUCGGGCCUGACUGCCUUGCUUUUGCUCUUGGUGCUGAUAAAAAUAGUUUAUCUUGGUUUCCUCCCUAUAUUGUAAAAACUAGGUGUGGAUGUGGUUCGGGAAUCGCAAACCGCCUGAGACAUUGAGGUAUUUCAUUAUUUGGGACCGCUACCGUCCGUAUUUUUCCAGUUAAUCGUGAUUCGGUGGAACUGCAACUCCGGUCAAUGUUCGCAAAAAAUGCAGAAUCCACCGAUUGACUGAGAAAGAGGGAGAGAAAGAGAGAAAUCGACAGAGAAAGAGAAGAGGGAGAGAGAUGAUAGAGAAAGAGAAUGAAAAAAAGAAAUUGCAAAUCGAAGAGAGGGAGAAAGAAGAAAAAAAGUCGAAGAGGGAAAGAGAAAGAAGAAGAAAUUCCGAAAAGCUUGUCAGACGGCGAGAGGAAGAAGGAAAAAAGGAAAAAAAAGAAAGAGAGAGGGAGAGAAGAAGAAGGGAAGAGAGAGAGAGAGAGAGAGAGAGAGAGAGAGAGAGAGAGAGAGAGAGAGAUUUUUAUCACAAAUGGUUCCUAAGGUUUGCGAAAUUAUCACCUAUCGUCUCUUACUUUUUUUGUGACACUAACGGUCCUUAAGGUUACCCUCCACACAUCAAAAUGAUCCUUACCGUUAGCUUCCGUCAAAUUUUUUAUUAAAUUGCUGACAUGGCACAUGUAUGGAGCUCAC
rnacentral:lncRNA from 1 species